CAGAGAUAUUACAGUUAUAUUCCUGAGCCGUCAAUGGUAUAUCUGCCUUAUAAAAGAGUAUGCUUAGUGAUGGAGCAAUAAGCAUUAAGGACAUCCCUGGCUGAAUGACGGAUGGACAAAGCAUGCACAAAUGUCACCAGAAUAGCACAAUGAUCUUUGAUUUAAUGGUGUGUAAAUCAGCACUAUCCAGAAGUAUUAGUGGAACUUAAAUAUUGACAGUGGUCUGAGCAACAGCAAGCCACACACUGAGUCAGGAUGAAUCAGCCUCGACAUUCAUCUGUAAUGAGCAUUAUGGAGCUGGCCGUCUGCUUGUCCCGUGGGUAGACAUAUCUUUUAGAGGCCUGACAUAAAGGUAAUUGCCACAGUGACCAGAACUAGCCUCUAGAAAGUUAUUAAGAAGCCAGUGACAUCUGGCUUCUGGAUCAUCUGAAGAGAUGCUGUUAAAAUGCAUUUGCAGUGAGCAGCCGGCGACAUUGUGCUGGGCUGUGAUGGGUUCUGUGCCGCGGGCAAGGCUACAGUACUGUUUUGAUGGCGCCAAUGGAAUCUGAUGGAGUCUCUCUAAACCUGACACAGUUGACUUGUGUGGCCCCCACUCAUGAUCUUAGAUCUGCUAUCCUGUUUCUUUUUGUCUCUUUUCUGGUUCUGUGUGAGAGCCUCUGCAUCAUCUUCAUUACCGAGUUCCUUGUGUCUAUGAGCUAAAAUAAUCUGUUUUUGAGCCAUAGCUGAUUUUUUUCCAGCACAUAAGGCUGGGAUAUGUGUCUGGGGAAAAUUGGUUUCAGGCAUCUUUCUCACAAUAAACAAAAUGGGCAAUUAACCUGCUCAUCAGUGCAAGCAGAGCAGUUCCAAUGAUGCACUCCACUGUUCUUCAUGGAUUUAUCUGUGCAAAUUGACCUCACUUUGGUGGUGCAAUUCAUUUCUCUGCUAAUUUUCUGUGUCUGAAGCUUCAUUAACUUGAUGCGCUUCUACGUAGUAAAAAUCUGGAUGUCCCACGGAAAUUACGCCGGCUUCACCACUGCCUCUCGUAAUACUUCCCCUGCACCAUUGCAACGCAACACCUGCCAUAUUAGAGCUGCUCAGCCAGUGCUGCUAGCAUUAGACCACAGAUUGUUGCAGAGCUGGAUUGACUGCAGCCUCUUGCUUUCAAGCAUCUAACAUGACAAGCCGCUCCACUCACAUUAAAACCAUUCUCAGCCUGCAAUCCCCUUGCCCCUAGUCCUUCCCCAGCCAUCCACCUGAUGUUACGGGGCAAAUCAUUUGUAAUGAUUCACACCCAGAGCCGGUUCCAGGAGAGAAGGCCCUGGAGGCGCUUAGGCAGCGCAGAGCGAGAGUCUACACGCUGCUGAAGAAUAGAUUGGUGCUCUGAUCACUGGAACAGCCUCACGCUCCAGAGCCAUCACUUUUAAUCAGAGGCUGUCCAGGGAAACACAUGGCAGGUGCUUCAGCACUGUGGUGGAUCGCAGCAAAUCCGCACCAGGGGCACCUUACCAAUCACAGAAGGCUACGGUUAGGCAUGCAUGUGUGUGUUUGUGUGGGUGAGUGCGCGCAUAUAGCAUAUCUACUCCCCUCUAGUAUAAUCCUUUAGGCCAUUACCACCUGACCUCUUUGAGAAUGAGACAGACUACAGCCCCUAAUAUCUUAACACUCCUGCUUAAGACCCCAUAUUGAAUUUGUGACUUAAAUCAUCAUCUACAUACAUGAGAUUAUUUAUGGUACAUAUUGAGACCAGCCAUGAUCUAAUGACCAAUUUCAUUGUAUUUGGAGCCUACCAAGGGUGGAAUGUAUUUAUUUUCUUAUUACAUGUUUUGAUAUAAUACAUCAUAUAUGCAGCACUAUUUUUAUGUGGUUGUGUAGUUGUCAUGCCAAUCUCAAAAGGCCUAAAAACUCCUGUUUCCACCUUCCCAUAUUUACACCAGCUCAGCGUCUGACUGUCUAAGUAUUUUGUGCAGGUGUUGAUGGUGACAGGAGAAGGAAUGACAAGCUUAAAAAAAAACAUGAUGCUGAUGUUUUCAUUACUAUAAUCCCAGCAGUAUCACCAGUUCUCUAUCUCCACAGUCCCUCGCUCCUGCUGUUGACAGAUAUGCUGGAAAAAUGUCAAGAGCGUGCAUCACAUCAUUGUCAUGAAACAUAGAAUGCAACAAAUGUGUUAACAUUAUCAAGAUGCUCAGGUGGAGGGGUGGGGAGGCAUCCAUUAUUAGAGUGAAUGACAUUAAAAACAUCAUUCCACUUUGGGGUAUGAGCACAUACUGAAUAAUAAUUGUGCAAAUUUGGUUUCUUUAGCCAAAAUUAUUUCAUGGCAAGAAAAAAUAUGAUGCAUGUGACUGCAGAUUAUGACUAGAAACGAUGUGCUGCUCAGUGUCGAGAACUACAUUUUCCUACAGAACCACAAAAGUACUAGUCUAGGGUGUGUAAUGUUUGACACAGUCUAAUGCAAGCCUAAGAAUCAAACAGGCGAAUGUAAAUAUGUAGUGUAAAUUAAAAAAAAUAGAUUCUACAGUUUUUUGUAACACUUCAUUUUAAGUGUCCCUGUUUAGCAUUUAGACAAUUAAUACCUGAUUUAGAAAAUAGCCAAACAUAGUUGUCAGCACAGAUAAAGCAUAAGGACAUUUUUAAAUGUAAAUAUUGACACUGUAUCUCUACCACUUCUAGUGCGGUUGAUCUGAUGCUGGCCCUGACCUUUGACCUCUCUCAUGGAGAAUUAUAAGGAUAACUGCAGCAGAUGUCACAAGGAAGAAUGGAUUCUCCCAGGAUGGCUUUGACCCUCUUAUUUGUCUCUGGGGUGCAGCGCAGAUGCUGGGGCUGGGGUUACAUUUUCAACAUUUGAUUCAUGUUUUGAGUGUAUUCUGUAUGAGUGUGUAUGAGGAUGCAAGAGGGAGAAAUGUGUUUGUGUUUUGAGUUCUUAUUUUAGAAUGAUUUGGCCAUUGUUCCAGACACUGAGUAAAAUAAGAAAUGUAGUGGUGCAGUUGCCUGAGGUGCAUCCUGUGACACCAUAUGAUGCCCUGGUUUGAUAUCUGGCCUUGCUGCUUUGUCCCAUGUCAUCCCAAAGCAUCCUCCCAGUUCCUCUUAAACUAUCCGAAGAAGCAGAUAUACUACAAUAACACAAAUAUUGUUUGCAGCUCAAGAAGUUUUGGAGCUCAUCUCUCAUGCUUUCACUGAGUGCCAACCUGGUAUUUAAGCAUUCUUUACCCUAUGGAGGAUGGAAGAAUAUUGAUAAGGGCCAAUAUGUUCCCAGUCAGACAGUGGUGGGUCUGCUGGGAGGGUAGCCACCGAGGCAUAUGAAGAGAGGCUCUCCAGGGAGGCAGCCUGUCCCCUUCUCUCCCUCUCUCUCUCUCUCUCUCUCUGGAGGCAGAGCUCCCAAUAGGCAUAAGGCUGAUUACAACAGCAGCCAGAGCAGACAGCACUUUGCUGCUCCAUCUGCACAGUUCAAGGCUAUCUUUAAAGAAGCCCUCUUUGAGGAUAGCACAGAUGUGAAGAACUUCUUCAAUCACAUGGCAUUUUCUGUUCAGGUCUGAUCACAGCAAGAGCCCCAAAAGCAAGGAUGAUCACAAUAAAACCUACACUAUUCAACUAGGGGACAACAUCAGCAACUGUUGAUAAAAAAAGGGGGAAAAAAAACUUUAUAUUUCCCUAAAGCUUAUGAUCUUUCUUUGGAGAGCUUACUCUUGUAAUAAAAACAGAUUUAGACUGCAGAAAGAUUAUGUCCAGAAGCUUAAGACAAUCAGUCUCUGGUAAAUACUAAAUCAUUUCUAGUGUAUUCACAGGGACUUACGAUUUCAUCAUAUUGUGUAAGUUAUCAAGGAGGAACAUGCGCAGGCCUUGAAAACCUGUGAAUACUGCAAUUUUCACCUAUUGUUCUCCCCUUUUAUUUUAUUUUUUAUUCUAGCCCCAAUUUUAGUACGACAGUGACACUUCCGCGUAUCGGAGGUUCAAGACAGAGGUCAAGCCUUAUUCAUGCCCAGAAGCUAAAUAAAUUAGAAUGAUUGCCAACCACAAAAAUGCAUUCGAUAGGCUACAGCUGAAUAAAUGAAGAGGUAGAUUAUUGGUUUUGUUGAGCCAUAAGGGACAGAUGCAUGAUACCAUGUACAUAACAUAAAUGAUGAAAAAAACAAAUGGAAAUAAACUAUAAACUUUGCAAGCUGGCACAUCAGUAAAUAUGAGUUUAUAUUAUAGUAAACUGAUUUUUGUAACCACUUUAAUUAAACUUCUCAAUUAAGAGGUGCUGCAUUGUUAAUUAUAAACUAUAGUAAUACUCAUUAACUACGAAUGUAAUGUAAAUGUUUUGUAUAUUGUACAAAUAUACAUGUAAUUUAUUUCUGUCUGAAUGAGAACGCUGAAUGUGCUAAGAAAAGUCACAAUGCCAAAUAAGAAGUUAAAUCAGAUGCUAUUAAUUAACUGCAUAUUGUAUAGUCAAUAUAUUAUGGCUGUUGACAAAGCAUGAGUCCAUACUGCAAAAUUAAAUGCUGUCAGCUGGAAUAAAAACUA